GCCAGACUCCUACGGGAGGCAGCAGUGAGGAAUAUUGGUCAAUGGCCGAGAGGCUGAACCAGCCAAGUCGCGUGAGGGAUGACGGCCCUACGGGUUGUAAACCUCUUUUGUCGGGGAGCAAAGAGAGUCACGUGUGGCUCAUUGAGAGUACCCGAAGAAAAAGCAUCGGCUAACUCCGUGCCAGCAGCCGCGGUAAUACGUAGGUGGCGAGCGUUGUCCGGAAUUACUGGGUGUAAAGGGAGUGUAGGCGGGAAGGCAAGUCAGAAGUGAAAAUUAUGGGCUCAACCCAUAACCUGCUUUUGAAACUGUUUUUCUUGAGUGAAGCAGAGGCAAGCGGAAUUCCUAGUGUAGCGGUGAAAUGCGUAGAUAUUAGGAGGAACACCAGUGGCGAAGGCGGCUUGCUGGGCUUUUACUGACGCUGAGGCUCGAAAGCGUGGGGAGCAAACAGGAUUAGAUACCCCGGUAC
rnacentral:rRNA from 1 species